rnacentral:rRNA from 1 species
AUACGGAGGGUGCAAGCGUUGUUCGGAAUUACUGGGCGUAAAGCGCGUGCAGGCGGUAAGGUAAGUCAGAUGUGAAAGCCCCGGGCUCAACCCGGGAAGUGCAUUUGAUACUGCCUUUCUUGAGUAUGGGAGAGGAGAGUGGAAUUCCCAGUGUAGAGGUGAAAUUCGUAGAUAUUGGGAGGAACACCCGUGGCGAAGGCGACUCUCUGGACCAAUACUGACGCUGAGACGCGAAAGCGUGGGGAGCAAACGGGAUUAGAAACCCGAGUAGUCC